AGGACGAACGCUGGCGGCGUGCUUAACACAUGCAAGUCAAGGGGGCCCAGCAAUGGGCAACCGGCGAACGGGUGCGUAACACGUGAGCAACCUACCGAACUGUGGGGGAUAGCCGGCCUAACGGCCGAGUAAUACCGCAUACGCUCUCAGGGAGGCACUUCUUUGAGAGGAAACCUACGGGACAGAUCGAGGGGCUCGCGGCCUAUCAGCUAGUUGGCGAGGUAACGGCUCACCAAGGCAACGACGAGUAGCUGGUCUGAGAGGAUGGCCAGCCACAUUGGGACUGAGAUACGGCCCAGACUCCGUACGGGAGCAGCGAGGUGGGGAAUCGUUAGCGUCAAAGUCGGACCUAAGGCUAGGACGCAGCGACGCCGCGUGGUGGAGUGAAGCUUACGUCGGAGUACGUAAACCUACGUAGUUACCGGCCCGGGUAA
rnacentral:rRNA from 1 species